UGUGUCCGUACCGCAAACCGACACAGGUAGUCGAGGAGAGAAUCCUCAGGCGUUUGAGAGAACUCUGCUGAAGGAACUCGGCAAAUUAACCCCGUAACUUCGGGAGAAGGGGUACCCCGGUAGGGUUCAUAGCCCGAGGGGGUGGCACAUAAAUGUUCCAGGCGACUGUUUAACAAAAACACAGGUCUCUGCAAACUCCAAAGAGGAGGUAUAGGGGCUGACGCCUGCCCGGUGCCGGAAGGUCAAGAGGAGCGGUUAGCGCAAGCGAAGCUGCGAAUUUAAGCCCCGGUGAACGGCGGCCGUAACUAUAACGGUCCUAAGGUAGCGAAAUUCCUUGUCGGGUAAGUUCCGACCUGCACGAAUGGCGUAACGAUCUGGGAACUGUCUCCAGCAGAGACUCAGCGAACUUGUAGCACCGGUGAAGAUGCCGGUUACCCGCACUUAGACGGAAAGACCCCGUGCACCUUUACUACACCUUGACAUUGAGGUUGGCAUUGGACUGUGCAGGAUAGGUGGGAGGCUAUGAAGCUGGCUCGUUAGGGUCGGUGGAGCCGACGUUGAGAUACCACCCUGUGCAAUGCUGAUCUCUAACUCGCGCCCGUGAUCCGGGUGGAAGACAGUGUCAGGCGGGUAGUUUGACUGGGGCGGUCGCCUCCUAAAGCGUAACGGAGGCGUACGAAGGUUCCCUCAGGCUGUUUGGAAAUCAGCCGCAGAGCGCAAUAGUAUAAGGGAGCUUGACUGCGAGUCAGACACGACGAGCAGGUGCGAAAGCAGGUUAUAGUGAUCCGGUGGUCCCGAAUGGAAGGGCCAUCGCUCAACGGAUAAAAGGUACGCCGGGGAUAACAGGCUGAUCUUGCCCAAGAGUUCAUAUCGACGGCAAGGUUUGGCACCUCGAUGUCGACUCAUCGCAUCCUGGGGCUGGAGCAGGUCCCAAGGGUUCGGCUGUUCGCCGAUCAAUAGCGGUACGUGAGUUGGGUUCAGAACGUCGCGAGACAGUUCGGUCCCUAUCUAGUGUGGGCGUAGGAUAUUUGAGAGGAGCUGUCCUUAGUACGAGAGGACCGGGAUGGACUGACCUCUGGUGUUCCAGUUGUGCCUCCAGGUGCAAUGCUGGGUAGCUAUGUCGGGAAGUGAGAAGCGCUGAAAGCAUCUAAGCGCGAAACACCCCUCAAGAUGAGAUCUCCCUAUGAGACCCGUGGAAGACCACCACGUUGAUAGGUCGCAUGUGUAAGGCCGGUAACGGCUUAAGCUGAGCGAUACUAAUCGGUCCAUCGACUUGACCUU
rnacentral:rRNA from 1 species